rnacentral:rRNA from 1 species
UGGGGAAUUGUUCGCAAUGGGCGCAAGCCUGACGACGCAACGCCGCGUGGAGGAUGAAGGUCUUCGGAUUGUAAACUCCUGUUGCCCGGGACGAAUGGCUUCGACCUAACACGUCGAAGUUUGACGGUACCGGGUGAGGAAGCCCCGGCUAACUCUGUGCCAGCAGCCGCGGUAAUACAGAGGGGGCAAGCGUUGUUCGGAAUUACUGGGCGUAAAGGGCGCGUAGGCGGCCUUCUAAGUCGAACGUGAAAUCCCCGGGCUCAACCCGGGAACUGCGUCCGAUACUGGAAGGCUUGAAUCCGGGAGAGGGAUGCGGAAUUCCAGGUGUAGCGGUGAAAUGCGUAGAUAUCUGGAGGAACACCGGUGGCGAAGGCGGCAUCCUGGACCGGUAUUGACGCUGAGGCGCGAAAGCCAGGGGAGCAAACGGG